rnacentral:rRNA from 1 species
CCUACGGGUGGCAGCAGUGGGGAAUAUUGCACAAUGGGGGAAACCCUGAUGCAGCGACGCCGCGUGAAGGAAGAAGUAUUUCGGUAUGUUAACUUCUAUCAGCAGGGAAGAAAAUGACCGUACCUGACUAAGAAUCCCCGGCUAACUGCGUACCAGCAUCCGCGGUAAUAAGGAGGGGGCCAGCGUUAUCCGGAUUUACUGGGUGUAAAGGGGGCGUAGGCGGGUUAGCAAGUCAGAAGUGAAAGCCCGGGGCUCAACUCCCGGACUGCUGUUGAAACUGGUGAACUAGAUUGAAGAAGAGGUAAGUGGAAUGCCUAGUGUAGCGGUGAAAUGCGUAGAUAUUAGGAGGAACACCAGUGGCGAAGGCGGCUUACUGGACUGUAAAUGACGCUGAGGCUCGAAAGCGUGGGGAGCAAACAGGAUUAGAUACCCGAGUAGUC